GCAGUUGGAGAGAGCUCCUUUUCUCUCAUCUCAUAUUAGUCAAUCUCUCUCUCUCUCUCUCUCUCUCUCUCUCUCUCUCAUCGCACCGAUCGCGACUCUGCUUUCAACUUUGCUUUCUCAUCGCACCGAUCGACCUCUAGUUUGUCAUCGCACCAAUCGACCUCUGAUUUCUCAUCGCACCAAUCGAUCUCUGUUUUCUCAUCGCAACUCUGUGCGCAGCUUCACUUCGAAUCUCACUCUCUGGUGCUUCGCAAGAUCGACUCUGCUCUGCAAUUCACAGGUUGUUUGUAUCAAAUUAGAAUGCUUGAGGUAGAACAAGAGGCAAAUAAAACCACUCUGCUAGAGGAAGCAAACCCGAAAUCCAGCGAUGAAAGGACAGAAAAUAGGAAGAAGAAAAGGAAGAGAUAGUUAUCAAAGGAAGCUGCAACGGCUGACAAACGCGGGGUUUGCUACUUAAGUCGGAUUCCUCCACACAUGGAUCCUUUGAAGCUAUGACAGAUUCUCUCUUAGUAUGGAGAAAUUCAAAGAAUUUACCUUACACCCGAAGAUCUUGUGGCUCAGGUGCAUCGUAAACGAGCUGGUGGAUUUCAAGGAAUAGAAUUUUCGGAAGGGUGGGAGGAAAAGGUCAGCGUUCUUUUAUGAUCUUUGGAAUAUCAAGUACUUGAGUAAAUUCAAAUGGGAUGAUCUUACUGAGGAGAUUGGUAUGGAUGUUUUUAACCAUUUGCGGCCUGUUGGGAUUUGGCUAACUCCAGAGCCAAUUCCUUACGUAAGUGCUCGUUCUUAGCCAUCAUAUCUUCUAGAUGCUGUUCGUUUCAUUUUGCUUGAUCCAUGAUCGUCUGCACAGUCUCCUGCACAGAAGUUGAGAGUGACGUUUGAGCUACUGG